UUUAGUCCAAAGUUGAGAAUGUCUUCUGGAUAGAGGACGGGCUGUUGCGUGGCUAGGAAAAAAUGCAUGAAUUAUACUACGGAGAAGAACAGCAAGAACAUAAGUUAGCUAUAGCUAAAAACAGAGAGUUAAUACCAUCAAUACUAAUGAUAUUGUGGGUACACAAUAUUUGUUACUUUUUCGUAUUUGAAUCAAUUUGUAAUGGGCGCGAAAAUUGCAAAUGAUAUCGAUAUAAAUGUCAGUGCUGUAAAGCGGCCUUCCUUUCCGGAUUUUUGUUUCUCGCUCGAAGCGGUCACACUUUGUAUAAAUAUUCAAAUUCGCGAACAAAAUUUAAUUUUAUUAUUUGAACGAUUCUAUAUAUAGCCAAUAUCAUUCCUGCUCAGCUAUUGGAUAUCCUCGUUGCUGAUUGCGGUUGCUCUUACUCUGCCAUAUGGAGAGCACCUGAACAUGAACAUGAUGUCAAAGUUCUUGUCGGGAGUCUCAGUCUCUGUCGCCAACUGUAGGGCCAUGUCGAUGCAGGUGCUGCCAUCCACUCUAUUGCUGGUCAUGUCCGCAUCGUUCCUGGAAAAUCGGGCGGACUCCAAUCGUCGCGACGUUCCUGCAAUACAUGGAGAAGGACUUCUGUCCCACCUACAUUUCUGAGGGCAAGCGGGGAUCCCUGGAUCAUCGGCCUGUCUGUACCUGGCUGUAACCAGCUCUGGCAUCAUUUGGGAGUUGAAGAAUGAGAGCAAAAAGCACUUCCCGGCUUCCUGGGCACUCUAGUGAAGUGCGCACCGGACAUGAACGAUGUCGUGUUCCAACUGGCCUUCAUCGAGCGCGAGUAUCAGUUCUUCGGGCAGCAGCAACUGAUCAAUGAGAUAACCUCGUACUGCACGGGCCAGGCACUCAUCCUUGGCCUGGAUAUCCGUGGUAAGGGGUUGGUUAGGUGAUUGGACUUAAAAGGGGCGUAGAGGGCUUGUUCUACGAGCCAUUACAGGGGCCUAUACAAGGGCCUGAUGAAUUCGCUGAAGGUGUGGUCGUGGGCGUUAAGUCCCAGUUCGUGAACAC